AUUGAACGCUGGCGGCAGGCCUAACACAUGCAAGUCGAGCGGCAGCGGGAAAGUAGCUUGCUACUUUUGCCGGCGAGCGGCGGACGGGUGAGUAAUGCCUGGGAAAUUGCCCAGUCGAGGGGGAUAACAGUUGGAAACGACUGCUAAUACCGCAUACGCCCUACGGGGGAAAGCAGGGGACCUUCGGGCCUUGCGCGAUUGGAUAUGCCCAGGUGGGAUUAGCUAGUUGGUGAGGUAAUGGCUCACCAAGGCGACGAUCCGUAGCUGGUCUGAGAGGAUGAUCAGCCACACUGGAACUGAGACACGGUCCAGACUCCUACGGGAGGCAGCAGUGGGAAAUAUUGCACAAUGGGGGAAACCCUGAUGCAGCCAUGCCGCGUGUGUGAAGAAGGCCUUCGGGUUGUAAAGCACUUUCAGCGAGGAGGAAAGGUUGAUGCCUAAUACGUAUCAACUGUGACGUUACUCGCAGAAGAAGCACCGGCUAACUCCGUGCCAGCCGCCGCCGUAAAAC
rnacentral:rRNA from 1 species